CCUCUCUCUAAUUGCCUUUAAGGUGACAAGGAGCUAGCUCCUCGAACACUGCAUUUCAGGGGAAAAGAAUUCUGAACAAAACAAUUGUUGAAAAUCGAAUGAAAAAUAUGCGGGGCCUAGCAAUGAAAGAAAUCACCAACCCUAAGAGUAGCAGUGCAAGUUACUGCACUUCUUAUUCCUCAGUGCAUAAUAUCCGGGUCCAUCAUCCAACAUCUGCUAAUAUUGCUGAAUUUCAGCCCAAGAGACCCACUCACAACAUCAUUACGGGUGAGGAAGGCCCCAGUGUUCAGCACACAAACUACAAGAGAAAGUCAGGAGCCUGGCUUCAACAGUGUUCAAGGCAACGUGAAUGCUUUUAUGAUCGUUCCUUUCUGUACUGAAAUUUGAACGGAUUCAUUAUUAUUUAUACUAAGGGUAGAGUCUGGCUCCAACUCACAUUAUGGGUCCUUUUAAAUUUCACAACCUGUCAGAUUUUAUAACCUUGAAUCAAGCUCAAAUUGGAAAUGUUUUUAAUUUGUAAUUGAAAGAUAGUUAAGUGAGCUGAAUGAUUUUCCUGUGUAUAUGUAUAACAUUGUUAACCCAUCUAUCUGCUACCACUGAGUGAGAUGUAAUGUAUUAUACUGAAACCUUUAAAUUGACUGUAAACAACACCAAUGCAAUAUAGCAGUGAGGGACAUUAGUGCACUUUGUAAAUUGGUACAUGUGACAUUGGAUUGGUUCAGUGUAAAUGAUCAAUUUUCAUAAUUUUGGAAUAAGUAAGUUUGAAGGCAAUGAGAAAAUAGGCCUUAGAUACAGAAAGGUCAUUACAUGCCAAGUCCUCUAAUACUGCACUAAUUUUUAGAUUGUUUAAUCUUACUGUUCAGAUGUGUUAUGACACAGUCUGGAGCAGGUUUGGCUUGAACCUGGCAUUCUAGCCCAGUGGUAAGGACAGUGCCAGUGUGCCACCAGACCCUCUAUAUCUGAGAAUUACAUUGUGUACACAGUGUAAAAACAGGUCAUUUGGUUUCACUUGUAUUUGUACAUAUCCUUCCCAAUGUUGUUUCUCUAACCUGAUUAGCAAAUCUUAAUUUUUACUUCUUCAUUUAUUUCUCUAGUUUUCCCCUUAAAUGCAUUUGUGCUAUUCACCACCACUUCUCCAUGUGGCUAUGGGGUAAUGAUGUAAGGUGGACAGGCUAAAAUCUGAGCUGUUCACUUUGACUGUUAGUUGGGAGUCUCACAAUUUGAUAAUGUCUCUGCUGAGCACCAACCUCUCUUCCCUUUUCAAACGAUUUGUGGAAUGUGACUACAUUCAUGUACCUGCUUCACCUACUCCACCCACUUUCUCCUGUGCUGAUUCUUACCUUAAUCCACUGGUAAGCUGGAACCAUCCCACCAGGUGCUUGUUGAACACCAUUACACUCUGUGAAAAGCAUGUCAGCUGGAUGUUCACAAAUUGUCUCAAACAGGAGAAGCUUAACCCCUCCAAAAAGAGUAACUUGUUAAUGUGCUGAAUGCUGUUUCGCAGUGUUUCCCUUUAUUCCUUCACCAGGUAUGAAUGUCAUCAGCAAAGCCCACAUCUAACUGCCUUUGAACCAACCUUUGAACUGAGCCAUUUCAGAGGUCAGUUAAAAGUUGCUAUGGAUCUGGAGUCAUACAUAGGCCAGACCAGAGGUAAGGUUGGCAGAUUACAUUCCCUCAAGGACAUCAGUGAACCAGAUGGGAUUUUACAACAAAUGAUAAUGGUUGCAAGGUCACCAUUCCUGAGACUACUUUUAAAUCCAGAUCAGGUAAAUUGACUUGAGUAUAGACAAAGGUGGUUGUCUUGCAAAAGAUGCUUUAGUUACUUGAUUAACUUAUGCAAACCUAUCAUUCAACUUAGCCAUUUUGACUUUAUACAUGUAGUGGUCAAACAAGGAGGCAAUGAUAUGAUUCCAAUAACCUGGUCAUAAAAGAGCAGUCCGAGAAGUCUCCAUUUACAGUUUUUAAGAUUAUGGAAGCUUCAAGACUAUUGAGGAAAACACAGGCUGAGUGAUUGGUUCUGGAUGGUCCACUGACAAUGCAUCAAUCCACACCACGCCCUCCGCCUCUUCCCCAAGUUAUAUGCUGCAUCUUUUAACCUGAUCAAAUGCCCCAGGAGUGAUUCGGUAACGUUUCGACAGAGCAGCGUUAGGAUAGGUGGCUAAAAGCUUAGUCAGAGAUUUACGGGAGUGGCAUGAAGCAGGAGGUGAGAGGAUUUUGAGAGGGAAUUGCAGAGUUGAAGGGGGAGGUAGCUGAAGAUAUGAGACAGCCAGUGUUGGAGCGCUGAAAUCAAGGCCUUACCAGGAGCCAAAAUAUACGGAAUACAGUGACCUCAGAGACUUGUUGAGCUGGAGGAGGUUACAAUCACUGGGCAGGACCAGAUCAUGGAGGGAUUUGAAAGAGGAAUGACAAUUUUAAAAUGGAGGCCUUGUAGAACAGGAGCCAGUGUAUUGUGAGAGAGCACAGUGGUGAUGAUUGAGAUUUAGUGCAAGACUCUGUCAGCACAAUUUGGGUCGCCUUUAUGUUUAUGGAGCUUGCAAAAUUGGUCAUGAACUUGGAACUAACAGAACAGAGAGUUUCGGCAGAAGGUGAGCUGAGGGAGAGUGGAGAGUAGAGGUGGACAAUGUAACCAGGUUGGAAGUAACUAGUCCUUGUGAUGAGGAUAUAGGAUCACCUUCUCUGUUCAGGGAUGGUUCUGUCAGUAACCAGUAUCACAAUCAUGGAGGCAGCGAAUGAUUCCCUCCGCUUUCUCUCUCCUUUUUUGACUGCAACAGGUUUGUUUUUAGUAAGGAUAUGCUUGACCAGGUUAGUGAAUGUUUAACUGUUUAUGUGCUGUGAUAAUAAAUGGACAAUGGGACAUGUUUUUGUGAGGUUAAGAAAGAAAAUGAGUGGCUUUAUUAUACUUAAAUGUGAACAAAAAUACUAAGAGUCAUUCUGAUUUUCACGAAUGAAUAUAUGUGACAGCAUGGGGAAGGAAUAUCCAGAAAAAGAGAACAUAGAACAGCAGCAGGACGUUCCAUAUUCAGUAGAAUCAUAGCUAAUCCAGCUGUGGUCUCAAAUCCAUUUUUCCAUCUGCCACAACACUCCACAAUCCACUCUCUAAUACUGUAUCGAAUAAAUUCAAUGACUCCACUUUCACUGAAUUCCACCGAGUAACUGUAGAGGGUUGGGCUUAACAUCAGAAGAAUAAGUGAAGUGUACUGAUGGAAGGAUGAUGUCAGUGCCACAUAAUUGAGUAUAUUGGGCUGUGAGAGUGGCAAGGCUCUAUCUGAGUGUGAGAAGAGGGAGUGAAUGACGUUGUAAAUAAAGAAUUCUUGCACAAAAUUCCAUGGGCUCCAGCAGCCUGACUUUGGGAGACUAAAUAGGGUUAGACUCUAAACACGCACCAAAAUACUAAAUCCUCAGAGAAAAAUUCUCAUUGGUGAGCGCUGCUGCCUCACAGU